GAUGAACGCUGGCGGCGUGCUUAACACAUGCAAGUCGAACGAAGAACGCGAUUUCGGUCGUUAUUAUUAGUGGCGGACGGGUGAGUAACGCGUGAGGAUCUGCCCUUAGGAUGGGGAUAACAGUUGGAAACGACUGCUAACACCCAAUGUGCCGAGAGGUGAAAAAUUUAUUGCCUGAGGAAGAACUCGCGUCUGAUUAGCUAGUUGGUAGUGUAAUGGACUACCAAGGCAACGAUCAGUAGCUGGUCUGAGAGGAUGAUCAGCCACACUGGGACUGAGACACGGCCCAGACUCCUACGGGAGGCAGCAGUGGGGAAUUUUCCGCAAUGGGGGCAACCCUGACGGAGCAACGCCGCGUGAGGGAGGAAGGCCUUUGGGUUGUAAACCUCUUUUCUGAAGGAAGAAGAUCUGACGGUACUUUAGGAAUAAGCAUCGGCUAACUCCG
rnacentral:rRNA from 1 species